rnacentral:rRNA from 1 species
AUACGUAGGGGGCGAGCGUUGUCCGGAAUGAUUGGGCGUAAAGGGCGCGUAGGCGGCCGCUUAAGUCUGGAGUGAAAGUCCUGUUUUCAAGAUGGGAAUUGCUUUGGGUACUGGGGGGCUUGAGUGCAGGAGAGGUUAUCGGAAUUCCCGGUGUAGCGGUGAAAUGCGUAGAGAUCGGGAGGAACACCAGUGGCGAAGGCGGGUAACUGGACUGCAACUGACGCUGAGGCGCGAAAGUGUGGGGAGCAAACAGGAUUAGAUACCCUGGUAGUCCACACUGUAAACGAUGAAUGCUAGGUGUAAGAGGUAUCGACCCCUUUUGUGCCGGAGUCAACACAAUAAGCAUUCCGCCUGGGGAGUACGGCCGCAAGGUUGAAACUCAAAGGAAUUGACGGGG